CAGUAGCCGCGGUAAUACGAAGGGGGCUAGCGUUACUCGGAAUUACUGGGCGUAAAGGGCGCGUAGGCGGCACGAUUAGUCAGGCGUGAAAUUCCUGGGCUCAACCUGGGGACUGCGCUUGAUACGGUCGAGCUAGAGGAUGGAAGAGGGUCGUGGAAUUCCCAGUGUAGAGGUGAAAUUCGUAGAUAUUGGGAAGAACACCGGUGGCGAAGGCGGCGACCUGGUCCAUUACUGACGCUGAGGCGCGACAGCGUGGGGAGCAAACAGGAUUAGAUACCCCAGUAGUCCCUGUCUUUUAUAC
rnacentral:rRNA from 1 species